rnacentral:rRNA from 1 species
UAGGGAAUCUUCCACAAUGGACGCAAGUCUGAUGGAGCAACGCCGCGUGAGUGAAGAAGGUUUUCGGACCGUAAAGCUCUGUUGUUGGUGAAGAAGGAUAGAGGUAGUAACUGGCCUUUAUUUGACGGUAAUCAACCAGAAAGUCACGGCUAACUACGUGCCAGCAGCCGCGGUAAUCGUAGGUGGCAAGCGUUGUCCGGAUUUAUUGGGCGUAAAGCGAGCGCAGGCGGAAGAAUAAGUCUGAUGUGAAAGCCCUCGGCUUAACCGAGGAAUUGCAUCGGAAACUGUUUUCUUGAGUGCAGAAGAGGAGAGUAGAACUCCAUGUGUAGCGGUGGAAUGCGUAGAUAUAUGGAAGAAUACCAGUGGCGAAGGCGGCUCUCUGGUCUGCAACUGACGCUGAGGCUCGAAAGCAUGGGUAGCGAACAGGAUUAGAUACCCUGGUAGUCCAUGCCGUAAACGAUGAGUGCUAAGUGUUGGGAGGCUUCCGCCUCUCAGUGCUGCAGCUAGCGCAUUAAGCACUCCGCCUGGGGGAGUACGACCGCAAGGUUGAAAC